rnacentral:rRNA from 1 species
GGCGGACGGGUGAGUAAUGCCUANGAAAUUGCCCUGAUGUGGGGGAUAACCAUUGGAAACGAUGGCUAAUACCGCAUAACGCCUACGGGCCAAAGAGGGGGACCUUCGGGCCUCUCGCGUCAGGAUAUGCCUAGGUGGGAUUAGCUANUUGGUGAGGUAAGGGCUCACCAAGGCGACGAUCCCUAGCUGGUCUGAGAGGAUGAUCAGCCACACUGGAACUGAGACACGGUCCAGACUCCUACGGGAGGCAGCAGUGGGGAAUAUUGCNCAAUGGGCGCAAGCCUGAUGCAGCCAUGCCGCGUGUGUGAAGAAGGCCUUCGGGUUGUAAAGCACUUUCAGUCGUGAGGAAGGNANUGUANUUAAUAGCUGCAUUAUUUGACGUUAGCGACAGAANAAGCACCGGCUAACUCCGUGCCAGCAGCCGCGGUAAUACGGAGGGUGCGAGCGUUAAUCGGAAUUACUGGGCGUAAAGCGCAUGCAGGUGGNUUGNUAAGUCAGAUGUGAAAGCCCGGNNCUCNNCCUCGGAAUUGCAUUUGAAACUGGCAGACUAGAGUACUGUANAGGGGGGGUANAANUUNNGGNGNAGCGGNGAAAUGCGUAGANAUCUGAAGGAAUACCGGUG